rnacentral:rRNA from 1 species
GAACGCGAAGAACCUUACCCGGGCUUGAAUUGCAGAGGAAGGAUUUAGAGAUAAUGACGCCCUUCGGGGCCUCUGUGAAGGUGCUGCAUGGUUGUCGUCAGCUCGUGCCGUGAGGUGUCGGCUUAAGUGCCAUAACGAGCGCAACCCCUCUCUUCAGUUGCCAUCAGGUCAUGCUGGGCACUCUGGAGACACUGCCACCGUAAGGUGUGAGGAAGGUGGGGAUGACGUCAAAUCAGCACGGCCCUUACGUCCGGGGCUACACACGUGUUACAAUGGCCGGUACAGAGGGACGGUGUAAUGCAAAUUGCAUCAAAUCUUGAAAGCCGGUCCCAGUUCGGACUGGGGUCUGCAACCCGACCCCACGAAGCUGGAUUCGCUAGUAAUCGCGCAUCAGCCAUGGCGCGGUGAAUACGUUCCCGGGUCUUGUACACACC